CUUGACCUCGGAUCAGGUAGGGAUACCCGCUGAACUUAAGCAUAUCAAUAAGCGGAGGA
rnacentral:rRNA from 11 species